GCGCCGUGAUGACAUCGUUUCCUGCCAUUCGUAGUUUCCACCGGAGGUCAAACGACCGAAGACGGUCCAAACCUUCCUUGGAUGUCUGAGCGC